rnacentral:lncRNA from 1 species
UCUCCACCCGCUCCUUCUCCUUGCUGGCAACACCCUUGAUGAGCUCCACCAUCUUCCUGGUCUGUGCGAUGGUCACAGCCAGCUCCUCCAGCUCGUUGUCCACACUGCUGAGGAAUUUGGCUCGCUGGGCCUCCUUCAGCUCGCGCUCCUUCUCGAGGGACACCACGUCGUGGCCGCGGUGCUCGUUGGCGCGGCAGCGGACGCACACGCAGGUCUGCUCGGCCCGGCAGAAGCCGUCGAGGGGCUGCAGGUGCCGCGGGCACAGCCCUUCUUCCAAGCGCCGCAACGGGGCUACGAGGCGGUGCGAGCGGAACGCGGGGGAGCGGCGGUGGGGCUCCAGGUGGGCCCCGCAGAAGGACGCCAGGCACACCAGGCACGAGCGGGCAGCCGCCGCCCGAUCGCCCUCGGGGCACACGUCGCACAGCACCGCCGCAGUCCCCUCCUCCAGCUCCGCUUCUC